UACGUAGGGUGCGAGCGUUGUCCGGAUUUAUUGGGCGUAAAGAGCUUGUAGGCGGCUCGUCGCGUCGGGUGUGAAAACUUGCGGCUUAACCGCAAGCCUGCACCCGAUACGGGCGGGCUAGAGUUCGGCAGGGGAGACUGGAAUUCCUGGUGUAGCGGUGGAACGCGCAGAUAUCAGGAGGAACACCGGUGGCGAAAGCGGGUCUCUGGGCCGAUACUGACGCUGAGAAGCGAAAGCGUGGGGAGCGAACAGG
rnacentral:rRNA from 1 species